rnacentral:tRNA from 5 species
AGAGUUAAGUUUACAGAUGGUUCUGUAGUAGACCUGCAAAGUCUAUCCAAAUUAAGGGUUCAAUUCCCUCUUAACUCUA